UGGGGAAUAUUGCACAAUGGAGGAAACUCUGAUGCAGCGACGCCGCGUGAAGGAUGAAGUAUUUCGGUAUGUAAACUUCUAUCAGCAGGGAAGAAAAUGACGGUACCUGACUAAGAAGCCCCGGCUAACUACGUGCCAGCAGCCGCGGUAAUACGUAGGGGGCAAGCGUUAUCCGGAUUUACUGGGUGUAAAGGGAGCGUAGACGGCAGGGCAAGUCUGAAGUGAAAGGCGGGGGCUCAACCCCCGGACUGCUUUGGAAACUGUCCGGCUGGAGUGCAGGAGAGGUAAGUGGAAUUCCUAGUGUAGCGGUGAAAUGCGUAGAUAUUAGGAGGAACACCAGUGGCGAAGGCGGCUUACUGGGCUCUAACUGACGCUGAGGCUCGAAAGUGUGGGGAGCAAAC
rnacentral:rRNA from 1 species